GUCAUGCGGAGCUACCAUGCAGUCGUACGAGAAGGUUCUUUCGGGAACUGGAGAGUGGCGCACGGGUGAGUAACGCGUGGGGACCUACCUCUUAGUGGGGGAUAACGGUUGGAAACGACCGCUAAUACCGCAUACGCCCUUCGGGGGAAAGAUUUAUCGCUAAGAGAUGGACCCGCGUUGGAUUAGAUAGUUGGUGAGGUAACGGCUCACCAAGUCAGCGAUCCAUAGCUGGUUUGAGAGGAUGAUCAGCCACACUGGGACUGAGACACGGCCCAGACUCCUACGGGAGGCAGCAGUGGGGAAUAUUGGACAAUGGGCGCAAGCCUGAUCCAGCCAUGCCGCGUGAGUGAAGAAGGCCUUCGGGUUGUAAAGCUCUUUCAGAUGCGAAGAUGAUGACGGUAACAUCAGAAGAAGCCCCGGCUAAUUUCGUGCCAGCAGCCGCGGUAAUACGAAAGGGGCAAGCGUUGUUCGGAUUUACUGGGCGUAAAGGGCACGCAGGCGGUCCUGCCAGUCAGGGGUG
rnacentral:rRNA from 1 species